UUGAACGGCUGAAAUUUUGGGGGAUUUCCGUAUACAGUUGUUCAACGCGGAGUGCAAAACACAGUUAGCCCAGGAGUUUUGACUUGUGUUGGCUUUCUGAGAAGUUCGAAGCUAUGAAAGGAAUUACUGUGCUUCUUUUUCUGUUACAGGCUACAGCUGUAAAGACAGGGUCACACUCUCUCUGGGCAUUUGCAACAUUUAUACACGGACAGACCCAAUUACCAGAAUUCAGUGUAGUGGUUAUGCUAGAUGAUCUUCAGGUGCUCUACUAUGACUGCAACAUAAAAAAACUGAUCUCUCGAAGCCAACCAAGCUCAACAAAUGAAGAUUUUAUCCUUGAAGGUGCAAACAUUGUGAUGCAAGACGCUUAUAAUUCCAUGAGAAGUCUUGCACGUCAUGUAAACCUCUUCUCCAAUCACACUGGAGGAGUUCAUGUUCAUCAGGGGAUGGGUGGAUGUGUGCUGGACAAUGACAAGCCCAGCCCGAUCAUGGUGUGGGAAGCUUAUGAUGGAACAGAACUGACUCAUUACGACAUGCAUGAUCGCACAGUCAACCCUCUAUGGCCACAGCUUAUGUGGACCACACUGAAAGAAAAAACCUGUCAAAUGAUAUAUAUAAAUAUUUAUCAGCCUAUUUGUAUCCAAACACUGAAGUACUAUCUGGAGAAAGAGAAGAACAUUGUGUUAA